GCGUCGGCGCGGCGGCCCAUCCGGCCUCGGGGCCUCCUGCGCACCCAGCUGCGCGUUGACGCCUCGCACCCAGGCUUGCGGACCGAUGAGGAAGCCGAGCGUUCGAGAGGGUGUGUGCGGGAGCCCUCACAGCCACAGAGUAGCAGAGCUCUGUUCGAACCUACGUCUGUCGCACUCCAAAUUCUGAACCCUUUCUCCAAACACGCCUCUGCCCCUGUGUCUACAACACCCAUUCAGGCAAAGCACAGUAUGCUGCGAAUCUGCUUUACUGGGAGCCAGUGGUCGUUUAGGUCUCUGUUCCCUCACCUGCAAAAUUAAGUUGACUCUAAGGUCAACUUUGGUCACCUCCUAGUUCACAUUGUCUAACAGUAGCCCGUACUCCCCAAUCUGGUAUCCUUUGUCUCCUGAAAGGACCCAGCAGUCCAAGGUCCAAGGGAGGAAUUCAGAAGCAACACUGUUUAAUCUAGAAAAAUACGUUAAAUUGCUGGGCUGAGACUGACAGUCAAAGGUCCCAAAGCAAAAACAACUGAGAGUCCCAUGAUACUGGCCUAGCUGCUUUUCUAAUAUUUGCCUUACUCAGCGGACACAGCAGAAAGAAAGAAGGAAUUAAAAACUGCUGGACUUGGAGCACAAUGGUCAAGGCCACACAUGACACGUCACUCUACCACAAAGUCAUCCACUAAAUCUCUACUAGAGGCAGAAAACUUCUCUCAACAUGAUCAACCCUAUCAGAUAUGCUUGCUUCCCCUUCACCUUUUGUCCUGAUUAUAAGUUUCCUGAGGCCUCCCCAGCCAUGCCUCCUGUACAGCCUGUGGAACUAAAAUCGCAUUGGCACACGGGAAGAAAAAAAAUUUACAAAAAAUCCCCCAAAGAACCAAAGCAGGACAAAAGCUUUACUUCUGCAAAGGUUGCUGCCAACACAGGAAGUGUUUAAAAAUACUAUCCGAAUGGACAACAAUUGAAAGGCUGCACCAGCCUUUCCAAAGUACUGCUACAGAGAGGGCCUAAACUCCGCAUUUAGACACACAGAUCAUUUUUCACCCAUUCAACACAUCCUCCUAUGCCGAAACUGCUGAUCAGUAGGAACAUCAAUUUUGAGUAGCAAAACAAAUGACAUUCCACGGCACUAGCCUUAGGAUUGGCAGUGUUCAGGGCGCGAGGAUCGGGGCAGAGUUGA
rnacentral:lncRNA from 1 species